AUACUUACCUGGCGGCGAAAUAGUACUGAUCAAGAAGGGUACUUUUCCAGGGUGAGGCGUAACAUUGCACUCGGUUUGCGCUGACCUCUGAGGCUUACUCAAAUUGAGUAACGCCUGCCGUGAAAUUUUUGAGUGAGGGGUUUGCGUUCGCGCUGCCCCGC
rnacentral:snRNA from 1 species